rnacentral:rRNA from 1 species
GACGAACGCUGGCGGCGUGCUUAACACAUGCAAGUCGAACGGAAAGGCCCUGCUUUUGUUGGGUGCUCGAGUGGCGAACGGGUGAGUAACACGUGAGUAACCUGCCCUUGACUUUGGGAUAACUUCAGGAAACUGGGGCUAAUACCGGAUAGGAGCUCCUGCUGCAUGGUGGGGGUUGGAAAGUUUCGGCUGUUGGGGAUGGACUCGCGGCUUAUCAGCUUGUUUGUGGGGUAGUUGCUUACCAAGGCUUUGACGGGUAGCCGGCCUGAGAGGGUGACCGGCCACAUUGGGACUGAGAGACGGCCCAGAAUCGUACGGGAGGCAGCAGUCGGGAAUAUUGCACAAUGGGCGGACGCCUGAUGCAGAAACGUCGCGUGCGGGAUGACGGCCUUCGGGGUAUAAACCGCUUUCGCCUGUGACGAAGCGUGAGUGACGGUAAUGGGUAAAGAAGCACCGGCUAACUACGUG